CUUGAACGCUGGCGGCAGGCCUAACACAUGCAAGUCGAACGAGUGGCGGACGGGUGAGUAAUGUCUGGGAAACUUCCCGAUGGAGGGGGAUAACUACUGGAAACGGUAGCUACUACCGCAUACCAUCGGAUGUGCCCAGAUGGGAUUUGCUAGUAGGUGGGGGAACGGUUCACAUAGGCGACGAUCCCUCGCUGGUCUUCGAGGAUGACCGUCCAAACUGGAACUGAGACACGGUCCAGACUCCUACGGGAGGCGGCAGUGGGGAAUAUUGCACAAUGGGCGCAAGCCUGAGGCAGCCAUGCCGCGGAUAGGAAGAAGGCCUACGGGUUGUAAAGUACUUUCAGCGGGGAGGCGUUACCCGCAGAAGAAGCACCGGCUAACUCCGUGCCAGCAGCCGCGGUAAUUC
rnacentral:rRNA from 1 species